AGAGUUUGAUCCUGGCUCAGGAUGAACGCUGGCGGCGUGCUUAACACAUGCAAGUCGAACGAAGCACUUUAUUUGAUUUCUUCGGAAUGAAGAUUUUGUGACUGAGUGGCGGACGGGUGAGUAACGCGUGGGUAACCUGCCUCAUACAGGGGGAUAACAGUUGGAAACGACUGCUAAUACCGCAUAAGCGCACAGGGUCGCAUGACCUGGUGUGAAAAACUCCGGUGGUAUGAGAUGGACCCGCGUCUGAUUAGCCAGUUGGUGGGGUAACGGCCUACCAAAGCAACGAUCAGUAGCCGACCUGAGAGGGUGACCGGCCACAUUGGGACUGAGACACGGCCCAAACUCCUACGGGAGGCAGCAGUGGGGAAUAUUGCACAAUGGGGGAAACCCUGAUGCAGCGACGCCGCGUGAGCGAAGAAGUAUUUCGGUAUGUAAAGCUCUAUCAGCAGGGAAGAAGAAAUGACGGUACCUGACUAAGAAGCACCGGCUAAAUACGUGCCAGCAGCCGCGGUAAUACGUAUGGUGCAAGCGUUAUCCGGAUUUACUGGGUGUAAAGGGAGCGCAGGCGGUACGGCAAGUCUGAUGUGAAAGCCCGGGGCUCAACCCCGGUACUGCAUUGGAAACUGUCGGACUAGAGUGUCGGAGGGGUAAGUGGAAUUCCUAGUGUAGCGGUGAAAUGCGUAGAUAUUAGGAGGAACACCAGUGGCGAAGGCGGCUUACUGGACGAUUACUGACGCUGAGGCUCGAAAGCGUGGGGAGCAAACAGGAUUAGAUACCCUGGUAGUCCACGCCGUAAACGAUGAAAUAUAGGUGUCGGGGAGCAUGUUCCUUCGGGGCCGCAGCAAACGCAAU
rnacentral:rRNA from 1 species